AGUUUUAUAGUCAAUAAAUGAUAUUAGAUUGCAAUUCUAAAGGAGUAAAUAAUUUACUAAGACUU
rnacentral:tRNA from 1 species